ACUCAUCAUUCCAGCCAAUCAGCAGCAGACCCUCCCUCCCAGACCCUCCCAACUCCUGGACAGCUCACUAAGAAUGCAGCUUCAAAAUGGAUGCUGUCCAGGAGGUGGGAGGGUCUGGGAGGGAGGGUCUGCUGCUGAUUGGCUGGAAUGAUGAG